rnacentral:rRNA from 2 species
AAACAACUCUCAGCAACGGAUAUCUUGGCUCUUGCAACGAUGAAGAACGCAGCGAAAUGCGAUACGUAGUGUGAAUUGCAGAAUUCCGCGAAUCAUCGAGUUUUUGAACGCAAGUUGCGCCCGAGGCUUGUCCAAGGGCAUUUCCGCUAGAGCGUCACCGCGCUCCCCCACCGACCCCCCUCCCCGCGAGGGCCGGAUCGAGUGAAAUUG